CGGACGGGGGAGUAAUGUCUGGGAAACUGCCCGAUGGAGGGGGAUAACUACUGGAAACGGGAGCUAAUACCGCAUAACGUCGCAAGACCAAAGAGGGGGACCUUAGGGCCUCUUGCCAUCGGAUGUGCCCAGAUGGGAUUAGCUAGUAGGUGGGGUAACGGCUCACCUAGGCGACGAUCCCUAGCUGGUCUGAGAGGAUGACCAGCCACACUGGAACUGAGACACGGUCCAG
rnacentral:rRNA from 1 species